rnacentral:rRNA from 1 species
AGCGAACGCUGGCGGCAUGCUUAACACAUGCAAGUCGCACGGGCAGCUUCGGCUGUCAGUGGCGGACGGGUGAGUAACGCGUAGGUAUCUAUCCUUGGGUGGGGACGAACCACGGGAACGUAGUGGCUAAUACCGCAUGACGACUGAGGUCCAAAGGACCGAAAGGUCGCCUGAGGAGGAGCCUGCGUCCGAUUAGCUUGUUGGGUGGGGUAACGGCCUACCAAGGCUCCGANCGGUAGCUGGUCUGAGAGGAUGAUCAGCCACACUGGGAC